AUUCCAGCUCCAAUAGCGUAUAUUUAAGUUGUUGCAGUUAAAAAGCUCGUAGUUGGACCUUGGGACGUCACGGUCGGUCCGCCUUCUUGGUGUGCACUGGCCCUCACGUCCCUUCUGCCGGCGGCGUGUUCCUGGCCUUAAUUGGCUGGGUCGCGGUUCCGGCGCCGUUACUUUGAAAAAAUUAGAGUGCUCAAAGCAAGCCUACGCUCUGAAUACAUUAGCAUGGAAUAACGCGAUAGGAGUCUGGUCCUGUUCCGUUGGCCUUCGGGACCGGAGUAAUGAUUAAUAGGGAUGGUUGGGGGCAUUAGUACUUUGCUGUCAGAGGUGAAAUUCUCGGGUUUGCAAAAGACUAACUUAUGCGAAAGCAUUUGCCAAGGAUGUUUUCAUCA
rnacentral:rRNA from 1 species